CAACGAGCGCAACCCUAUUGUUAGUUGCCUAUCAUUCAGGUUGGGCACUCUAGCGAGACUGCCGGUAAUAAACCGGAGGAAGGUGGGGAUGACGUCAAAUCAUCAUGCCCCUUAUGACCUGGGCUACACACGUGCUACAAUGGUUGGUACAACGAGUUGCGAGUCGGUGACGGCGAGCUAAUCUCUUAAAGCCAAUCUCAGUUCGGAUUGCAGGCUGCAACUCGCCUGCAUGAAGCCGGAAUCGCUAGUAAUCGCGGAUCAGCAUGCCGCGGCGAAUACGUUCCCGGGCCUU
rnacentral:rRNA from 1 species